GAUGGAAGUGACGAUGAAAAGACAGGGACAUCAGAUCAGAGUAAGAGUCCCCUUAUUAGGAGAUGGGGAUGAUGAUUUAUGUCUAAAUGGGUAUCUCUUUAAUGCGCA
rfam:Brassica napus, WGS project CCCW01000000 data, contig: 22847